ACGCUGGCGGCGUGCUUAACACAUGCAAGUCGAACGAGACGAUUGAAAGCUUGCUUUUGAAAGUCGAGUGGCAAACGGGUGAGUAACGCGUAGACAACCUGCCGCAAAGAUGGGGACAACAGUUCGAAAGGACUGCUAAUACCGAAUGUUGUAUCUUUCCCGCAUGGGGGAGAUAUUAAAGAUGGCCUCUACUUGUAAGCUAUCGCUUUGCGAUGGGUCUGCGUCUGAUUAGCUAGUUGGUGGGGUAACGGCCUACCAAGGCGACGAUCAGUAGCCGGUCUGAGAGGAUGAACGGCCACAUUGGAACUGAGACACGGUCCAGACUCCUACGGGAGGCAGCAGUGGGGAAUCUUCCGCAAUGGGCGAAAGCCUGACGGAGCAACGCCGCGUGAGUGAAAAGAAGGGUUUUUGGCUCGUAAAGCUCUGUUGACGGGGACGAACGUGCGAGAUGCGAAUAGUUUCUUGCAAUGACGGUACCCGUCGAGGAAGCCACGGCUAACUACGUGCCAGCAGCCGC
rnacentral:rRNA from 1 species